UGUUAAGUCUCCCAAACAAAGUUUGGAGACUUAUUGUUUUUGCUCAGUUCUUAUUAUUUUUAUUAUUCUUCCUCUUUUAGCUUCUUCUUCUUCUUCCGACACUUUAAAAAUGAACUUGUCCGCAGCGUUUCUCCAAAACCGCUUGUCAGAUUUACUUAGGGUUUCAUACCAUGGUAGACUAAUAUGUCUAGGUGAGCCAUCAAUCUUUCGUUUGUGCAUUGGAGUCUAUUAAGGGGUAUUUUGGGGGGUAGAAAGUAGGGAGGGGUUUACUAUAGAACCCUAUGGGUUUUUAUUUUCUAAAAUUUUCAAAUGAAUAUAACUUGAAAACUGUAAGUGAUAGAUACAUGCAGUCUUCAGAAAUGAUUAAAGGAC
rnacentral:lncRNA from 1 species